AAACAUCAAUUACUUAUUUUAAGCAGUUAAAGUAGAAUCUUGCCAAAAAUAAUAUUUCCUCAUCUUGUUCAAAUUGUUAAUACUACUUUCCCUUUUAGCUAUUAAAGAUGGAUCAAAGAGUUACCACCCAAAGAUUUGUUUUUAAGAACCAGGUAGGUCUAAAAAAAUUGGAGGGGAAAAAACAAUCACCACCAGUUCCUCCAAUAAAGCAGAAGGCUAAAUACAAUGAAAUUUUGCCUGUGCUUCAAAGGGAUUAUUUGUACUAUUGCAUCUUUUGCUACUCCAGUAUCUUUCAAUUAUCAGCACAAUACCUCACAUCUUGGUCUUGGUAGAUCCAGAACUCCUUUAGCCAGGAGGAGUCAAAUGUGAACUCCUUGUCUGUUAUCCCCUUCAAAACAACGUUAUGGAGUUAGAAUUAUAGUGAUUCCUUAUCACAUAAUCAGUCAUUCAGUCCAAAAUAAUGAUUGGUGUCAUGGUCUUCAUAAGAGUUAAUUUUUUCUUCUAAUAAUAGUUACAUAAUAUCAUUUUAAACAUAAAUGCUGAUUCCAAAAAUGUUUUCAUUUUAAUCUUUAAUUAUUUCUUUCAAACUUAUGGGCUUUGAACUGAAAAAAUAUAAUGCAAAUCUCUUUGUUUAUAUGUAAUUUUGGAAAAAAUGU
rnacentral:lncRNA from 1 species